rnacentral:lncRNA from 1 species
UUUGUGCUGUGCUUUGCUUAGAGAAGCGUUCGGAGCCUGUGACACUGCCUGACACUGACUGAUUAAGAUACAGGUACUGCGGCGCUGUCAGAAAAGAAGAAAGAGGACUCGCAGUGCUAUUGUUGCUCACAGAUCUCCAGCAGAGCAGCAGCAAGGCACCAGUGCACAGCAGCAUCGUGCUCUACCACCUUUUCUGAGAAUUACUGCCUACCCAACCCAGAAGCGAUAAGGGCAGAAGGCAGGAAGUUCCUGAAUGGAAGAGGGAAAUAUUGUUCUACUUUGACAUCACACUGGCACUGGCAGAUGAUUCAUAGGCUCUGGAGAACACAGACAUUACCAGCUCAGCACAUCUAUAUACCAAUCACCAUUUGUCAUAUGUACCUGUGUGCUCAAAUCAGUGCGUAGUGUUGACACCUCACUUGUUAUACAAAAAACAAUGCCAGCACCAUUUCUUUUUUGAUUUCCCCAUGCAUGAUCUGCUGGAAUAAUUCCAAGAUUAACUGUUUAUUAUAAUUUUUGCAAAACGGUGGGAAAAUUUCCUGAUCCUGCAAACACUUACCACAUAGGAGUAGGC